AGACCCGAAACCCGGUGAUCUAGCCAUGGGCAGGUUGAAGGUUGGGUAACACUAACUGGAGGACCGAACCGACUAAUGUUGAAAAAUUAGCGGAUGACCUGUGGCUGGGGGUGAAAGGCCAAUCAAACCGGGAGAUAGCUGGUUCUCCCCGAAAGCUAUUUAGGUAGCGCCUCGUGAAUUCAUCUCCGGGGGUAGAGCACUGUUUCGGCUAGGGGGCCAUCCCGGCUUACCAACCCGAUGCAAACUGCGAAUACCGGAGAAUGUUAUCACGGGAGACACACGGCGGGUGCUAACGUCCGUCGUGAAGAGGGAAACAACCCAGACCGCCAGCUAAGGUCCCAAAGUCAUGGUUAAGUGGGAAACGAUGUGGGAAGGCCCAGACAGCCAGGAUGUUGGCUUAGAAGCAGCCAUCAUUUAAAGAAAGCGUAAUAGCUCACUGGUCGAGUCGGCCUGCGCGGAAGAUGUAACGGGGCUAAACCAUGCACCGAAGCUGCGGCAGCGAACGUAUCACUUAAAGCGAUUCAGCGGGUUACGAUUGACGGAGCGAAGCGACGUCAAAGCGUAUACAAAGUCGAGUCGGUUUAAGGAUACGUUCGUUGGGUAGGGGAGCGUUCUGUAAGCCUGUGAAGGUGUGUCGUGAGGCAUGCUGGAGGUAUCAGAAGUGCGAAUGCUGACAUAAGUAACGAUAAAGCGGGUGAAAAGCCCGCUCGCCGGAAGACCAAGGGUUCCUGUCCAACGUUAAUCGGGGCAGGGUGAGUCGACCCCUAAGGCGAGGCCGAAAGGCGUAGUCGAUGGGAAACGGGUUAAUAUUCCCGUACUUGGUGUUACUGCGAAGGGGGGACGGAGAAGGCUAUGUUGGCCGGGCGACGGUUGUCCCGGUUUAAGCGUGUAGGUGUGUGUUCCAGGUAAAUCCGGUUCACUUUAACACUGAGGCGUGAUGACGAGGCACUACGGUGCUGAAGCAACAAAUGCCCUGCUUCCAGGAAAAGCCUCUAAGCAUCAGGUAACAUCAAAUCGUACCCCAAACCGACACAGGUGGUCAGGUAGAGAAUACCAAGGCGCUUGAGAGAACUCGGGUGAAGGAACUAGGCAAAAUGGUGCCGUAACUUCGGGAGAAGGCACGCUGACAUGUAGGUGAAGUGAUUUACUCAUGGAGCUGAAGUCAGUCGAAGAUACCAGCUGGCUGCAACUGUUUAUUAAAAACACAGCACUGUGCAAACACGAAAGUGGACGUAUACGGUGUGACGCCUGCCCGGUGCCGGAAGGUUAAUUGAUGGGGUCAGCGCAAGCGAAGCUCCUGAUCGAAGCCCCGGUAAACGGCGGCCGUAACUAUAACGGUCCUAAGGUAGCGAAAUUCCUUGUCGGGUAAGUUCCGACCUGCACGAAUGGCGUAAUGAUGGCCAGGCUGUCUCCACCCGAGACUCAGUGAAAUUGAACUCGCUGUGAAGAUGCAGUGUACCCGCGGCAAGACGGAAAGACCCCGUGAACCUUUACUAUAGCUUGACACUGAACAUUGAGCCUUGAUGUGUAGGAUAGGUGGGAGGCUUUGAAGCGUGGACGCCAGUCUGCGUGGAGCCGACCUUGAAAUACCACCCUUUAAUGUUUGAUGUUCUAACGUGGACCCGU
rnacentral:rRNA from 2 species